GUAAAAUGAAAGGAAGAGAAAACGUGGGGUGUGGAAGGCAUUGCCAGUAGCCUACAAUAUCCUUUCUUCCUUCCUUGCUAAGAGGACCCAUUGUUUGGGGCAGCAGGUGCCCCAUCCCAAGGACCAACCAUGUUCCCUGAUUUCCCAGCAUCCUUAGCAGCUGUGGAUGGCCAUGUGGCCUAUCUUUUGCCAUUGGGUUGUAAGUGGAAGUUGGAUUCCAAGAGAGCUUUUUCAUAACCCAUGAAAAACUCAGUUACUGCUAGGAUUACACUUUUCUCUUUUUGUCAGCAGCCAUCUUAUGACCAAGAGGUGACUAGCGUGAACACAAAUGCUUCACACUGAGGGUAGGAAGCUGGAAAGCAGACUUUAGACAGCAGGUGGCAUCCUUGAAUAUCUCAACACUAAUGCCUUUAUGUCCCCAGACUUCAUGUUCUGGGGGAAGAAGCAAUCUCUAUUCACUUACCCUACCAUACAUGAGGUAUGGACUGCAUGUCUGUCCCUCCCUAUUCCCGUGUUGAAAUCCUAACCUUCAACAGGAUGGUAUUUGGAGGUGGGGCCUUUGGGAGGUGAUUAGAUCAUGAGAGUGGGGCUCUCAUGGAUGGGAUUAGCACCUUAUAUAAGGAGAUAUGUGAGAAAGACGGCUUUUCUCUCAGCCAUGUGAGGAUAAUAAUGAGAAAACGACUAUCUGCGAACCAGAAACAGUCCUUCGUCAGACACCACAUCUGCCAGUGCCUUGAUCUCGGACUUCCAGCCUCCAGAAUUGUGAGAAAUAAUCCCAAGUCACACCACCUUCUAUUAGAUGGGCUCUACCUAUCAGGGAAGUACCUGUGACCGGUGGAAGGAAAAUGCACUUAGCAAUAAUUAGACAUUGAGCUCAGGGUGCAGCUCCAGGGACAAUGUCCGCAGCCCCGACCUCCUUCCCUGCUCAGUGGAGCACAGGAGGAAGGACACAAUUCUCUCCGACUUGCAGAUGCCGCGUGCCUUUGGCAGCUCCUCGGACAGAGGCAUGGUGGUUGCUCUGUUCCUCUACAAGCCUCUGCGCUGCAAAGGUUUGUCGGUUCAUUUGACGGAGCUCCAUGCGUCCCUGCAGAGUGAGGGCCGGCGCUGCUGUCCCGCAUACUGAGCUCAUUAGUGCAGAACUCAUUUCGGCAACUGUGGAGGCAGACAGGGUGAACAAAGUGCACCUGUGAGCGACUCGGCCAGCCCUUGGGAGGGGCUGCGGGCCUGCAGGGGUGAGCGGGGCGCGGUGCGGCUCUCUAGGCGCUUAUGGGGGCGGGAAAUGGCUGUGCCCAGGAAUAGCUGCAGGCGCCCCAGAACCGUCUGCGCGCCAGGACACGGGUGCACUAAUGGGCGGCGGGCGAACCGCUUGCUCUCCCUCCGCAGCAUAGGUGCAUGUUGUCUGCAAGACCGCAUUGGUGGUGUCCUGAUCGAUACCGCCAGAACCUGGAGGGAGUGCCUGGCACAGUGACCCCGACCUUGGGCUGACCCCAGCCUUCCUCUUCUUCCUGCUCUGUGUGGAAGGGAGGCCGCAUCACCCUUGGUUCCAGGCAGCCAGCGAGCAUUGCGCUCCCGGAAACCCCCUCCACGCGGGGCUUCACCCCAAAGGGCUCGUCUGCUGAAUAACCGUCACUCAGGCAGCAUCUGGAAACUCCCCGCACUUUCAGGCUGAGAUGAGACCAUAUACCUGGGAAAUCUCACGGACAGCGCCAGCUUGGUGGUCAAACGGUGGGAGGCCGAAGGCCCCGGCCUUUACAACAAGCGGGGGGUCAUAGGAAGUGUCCCUUGGGGCUGGGGACCCAGGGCAGCCGUGCGGAAGGGAGUCACCCAACCAGAGCGCCCAGUGCAAGGCCGUGGGCAGCCCCGCAGCCUGGCGGGUAGGACUGCCAGGACACAGGCAUUUGAGCGCUUCCCGUGUCACAGAUGCUGCGGAGAACCAUUUGCCCUUCACCAUAGCCCUUAGAGUAUCUACCGUGUGUGGCUAUUGUGGUCUCCACUUCUAAGAGGAGGAAACGGGAGUGGAGAGGUGUUUAGUUACUUAACCAAGCUGCCUAAGAGCUGGAGCUGAUAUUUGAACCCGGGCGAGUCUGACUCCAACAUCUGUGUUCCUAAAUAUUCCCCACGUGGCGGUGGGGAAGGUAAACGCAAUGAAUAACGAGAAAGAAGACACACAGGUUAGACAGAUUUUAUGAAUCAGAAUUAAGCAACAUAAGUUGCCUGUCUCCCCCUUCUUCCCUCCUCCCUUCUUCCCUUCUCCCCUUUCUCCCCUCCUUCCCUGCUUCCUUCCUUCAUCUCUAUCAGCCUUUAUUGAAAGCAUCCUACCUGUGUAUUUUCCACAAUUCCUGUCAAAAUCCUGUGCUCCCAGAAGUGGAGCCUCUCCGUCUCUUGGCUCCAAAGCUGUCUGAGCCUGCUCUGGCUUCAGUCCAUUGGAGACCGGCUUCCUUCCUUCCCCUGUGGGCAUCGUCGGCCCUUGCAUUUGCAUCCUUUGCGGGUGAAGGAAUGGCAUGGAAUCUCGCGUGAGAACUUCAUGGUUCCGAUGUCAGAAUUAUGUAGGAAUAAUUAGAAUUAUUAGGCCCUGGUGUGAUGUAGUAGGAAGAAAAGAGGUUAUGGAGUUGGCCAUAGAUAAAAUAGAAUCUCUGCUCUGCUAACUUCUAAUUAUGUGCUUUCAAAAAAUACAUUUCCCUUCCUGGAUAUUCAGUUUCCUGAUGUGGAUAACACAUCCUGAUGGGCAAUUAUACAAGAAAAUUGAUGUUAAGUUCCUAGCACCAUGCCUGGCACAUUGCGAAUGUUCAAUAAACUUUAGUUUCCAUUUCUCUUUUUCUAGUGGGAUUUUAAGC
rnacentral:sRNA from 1 species